AUAUCAAUAAGCGGAGGAAAAGAAACCAACCGGGAUUGCCUUAGUAACGGCGAGUGAAGCGGCAAAAGCUCAAAUUUGAAAUCUGGCUCUAUUUUGGGGUCCGAAUUGUAAUUUGAAGAAGCGACUUUGGACCUGGCUCUUGUCUAUGUUCCUUGGAACAGGACGUCACAGAGGGUGAGAAUCCCGUGCGAUGAGAAGCCCAGGUUCGUGUAAAGCGUUUUCGACGAGUCGAGUUGUUUGGGAAUGCAGCUCUAAGUGGGUGGUAAAUUCCAUCUAAAGCUAAAUAUUGGCGAGAGACCGAUAGCGAACAAGUACAGUGAUGGAAAGAUGAAAAGAACUUUGAAAAGAGAGUGAAAAAGUACGUGAAAUUGUUGAAAGGGAAGGGCUUGAGAUCAGACUUUGUUUUUCCAUGGCGCUCUUUCGGGGGUGUCCUCUGGGUCUACAGGGCCAGCAUGGGUUUUGCGGGCGAGACAAGGACUCAGGAAUGUGGCUCUGCUUCGGUGGAGUGUUAUAGCCUGGGGUACUGGUCGCCAUGCGGGACCGAGGACUGCGGUACUAGG
rnacentral:rRNA from 1 species